rnacentral:misc_RNA from 1 species
CGAAUCGAUUUCCCGAUCUUCUGCGCCAGUGUGUCCGGCAAGGGAGCUAACGACUUCAACCGAUGGGGGAUUAACGACGGUUGGCGGUCUUGCUGUUGCUUUUGGCGAGAGAAAGUAGCGCUGGAAGCCAAUCGACGGAGAAAGGUGAUGGAGGAUUGCUGGAAUGAGGAGAGAGGCUUAGGUGAGGAGGGAAAGAAGAGAGAGAAGAGAGUCCUAUUAUGGUGAUGGAAGAUUGCGAAUUGCUGUCUCAGACUCAGACUCAGACUCGGAGGCCUUAUGGCCAUCAAAUCUUAAUUUAGGCGAAAUAAAAAAGGCG